AUCAUGGCUCAGAUUGAACGCUGGCGGCAGGCCUAACACAUGCAAGUCGAAUGGUAACAGGAAACAGCUUGCUGUUUCGCUGACGAGUGGCGGACGGGUGAGUAAUGUCUGGGAAACUGCCUGAUGGAGGGGGAUAACUACUGGAAACGGUAGCUAAUACCGCAUAACGUCGCAAGACCAAAGAGGGGGGACCUUCGGGCCUCUUGCCAUCGGAUGUGCCCAGAUGGGAUUAGCUAGUAGGUGGGGUAACGGCUCACCUAGGCGACGAUCCCUAGCUGGUCUGAGAGGAUGACCAGCCACACUGGAACUGAGACACGGUCCAGACUCCUACGGGAGGCAGCAGUGGGGAAUAUUGCACAAUGGGCGCAAGCCUGAUGCAGCCAUGCCGCGUGUAUGAAGAAGGCCUUCGGGUUGUAAAGUACUUUCAGCGGGGAGGAAGGGAGUAAAGUUAAUACCUUUGCUCAUUGACGUUACCCGCAGAAGAAGCACCGGCUAACUCCGUG
rnacentral:rRNA from 1 species